rnacentral:rRNA from 1 species
UACGGAGGAUGCGAGCGUUAUCCGGAUUUAUUGGGUUUAAAGGGUGCGUAGGCGGGCUGUUAAGCCAGCGGUAAAAGCCCGGGGCUCAACCCCGGCGAGCCGUUGAAACUGGCUGUCUUGAGAUGUCGAGAGGUAUGCGGAAUGCGCAGUGUAGCGGUGAAAUGCUUAGAUAUUGCGCAGAACUCCGAUUGCGAAGGCAGCAUACCGGCGGCGAUCUGACGCUGAGGCACGAAAGCGUGGGUAUCGAACAGG